GGACGAAAGUCUGACGGAGCAACGCCGCGUGAGUGAUGAAGGUUUUCGGAUCGUAAAGCUCUGUUGUUAGGGAAGAACAAGUGCAAGAGUAACUGCUUGCACCUUGACGGUACCUAACCAGAAAGCCACGGCUAACUACGUGCCAGCAGCCGCGGUAAUACGUAGGUGGCAAGCGUUGUCCGGAAUUAUUGGGCGUAAAGGGCUCGCAGGCGGUUUCUUAAGUCUGAUGUGAAAGCCCCCGGCUCAACCGGGGAGGGUCAUUGGAAACUGGGAAACUUGAGUGCAGAAGAGGAGAGUGGAAUUCCACGUGUAGCGGUGAAAUGCGUAGAGAUGUGGAGGAACACCAGUGGCGAAGGCGACUCUCUGGUCUGUAACUGACGCUGAGGAGCGAAAGCGUGGGGAGCGAACAGGAUUAGAUACCCUGGUAGUCCACGCCGUAAACGAUGAGUGCUAAGUGUUAGGGGGUUUCCGCCCCUUAGUGCUGCAGCUAACGCAUUAAGCACUCCGCCUGGGGAGUACGGUCGCAAGACUGAAACUCAAAGGAAUUGACGGGGGCCCGCACAAGCGGUGGAGCAUGUGGUUUAAUUCGAAGCAACGCGAAGAACCUUACCAGGUCUUGACAUCCUCUGACAACCCUAGAGAUAGGGCUUUCCCUUCGGGGACAGAGUGACAGGUGGUGCAUGGUUGUCGUCAGCUCGUGUCGUGAGAUGUUGGGUUAAGUCCCGCAACGAGCGCAACCCUUGAUCUUAGUUGCCAGCAUUUAGUUGGGCACUCUAAGGUGACUGCCGGUGACAAACCGG
rnacentral:rRNA from 1 species